rnacentral:rRNA from 1 species
CACGGGGGGAGCAAGCGUUGUUCGGAAUCACUGGGCGUAAAGGGCGUGUAGGCGGUCAGGUAAGUGGGAUGUGAAAUGCCCCGGCUCACCCGGGGACCGGCGUCCCAUACUGCUUGGCUUGAGUACGGGAGAGGAUGUGGGAAUUCCUGGUGUAGCGGUGAAAUGCGUAGAUAUCAGGAGGAACACCGGUGGCGAAGGCGCACAUCUGGCCCGAUACUGACGCUGAGGCGCGAAAGCUAGGGGAGCAAACGGG